GCUGGGCAUGGUGGCGCAUGCCUGCAACCCUAGGGGCUGGGGAGGCAGAGGUAGGAGGAUCACAAGUUCCUAAGCUCUAAGCAACUCAGUGAAACCUUGUCUCUA
rnacentral:sRNA from 1 species